UUUGGUAAUGGCGGUCUCGUAAGCCCUCUUACCAGGUUAAGUAGUUCCCCAACUGACUUAACCUUCGAAAAACCGCCUCCCCAGGCGGUUUUUUCGU
rnacentral:antisense_RNA from 1 species